rnacentral:rRNA from 1 species
GACGAACGCUGGCGGCGUGCUUAACACAUGCAAGUCGAACGGAAAGGCCCCCACCUUGGUGGGGGUGCUCGAGUGGCGAACGGGUGAGUAACACGUGGGUGAUCUGCCCUGUACUUCGGGAUAAGCUUGGGAAACUGGGUCUAAUACCGGAUAGGACCAUGGUUUAGUGUCUCAUGGUGGAAAAAUUAUUGUUUUGGUGCAGGAUGAGCUCGCGGCCUAUCAGCUUGUUGGUGGGGUAAUGGCCUACCAAGGCGUCGACGGGUAGCCAGCCUGAGAGGGUGGACGGCCACAUUGGGACUGAGAUACGGCCCAGACUCCUACGGGAGGCAGCAGUGGGGAAUAUUGCACAAUGGGCGCAAGCCUGAUGCAGCGACGCCGCGUGGGGGAUGACGGCCUUCGGGUUGUAAACUCCUUUCGUUAGGGACGAAGCCACACCUUUUUUGGGUGUGGUGACGGUACCUUUGUUAAGAAGCACCGGCUAACUACGUG